AACGAACGCUGGCGGCAGGCUUAACACAUGCAAGUCGAACGCGUGUAGCAAUACACGAGUGGCGCACGGGUGAGUAACGAGUGGAUAUCUGCCUUUUGGAUCGGAAUAACUCCGGGAAACUGGCGUUAAUACCGGAUGGUACCUUCCGGAUAAAGAUUUAUCUCCAAAAGAUGAGUCCGCGUACGAUUAGCUAGUUGGUGAGGUAAUGGCUCACCAAGGCGACGAUCGUUAGCUGGUCUGAGAUGACGACCAGCCACACUGGGACUGGGACACGUCCCAGACUCCUACGGAAGGCAGCAGUGGGGAAUGUUGGACAAUGGGGGCAACCCUGAUCCAGCCAUGCCGCGUGGGUGAUGAAGGCCUUCGGGUUGUAAAGCUCUUUUGGCGGUGACGAUGAUGACGGUACCCGCAGAAUAAGCCCCGGCUAACUUCGUGCCAGCAGCCGCGGUAAUAC
rnacentral:rRNA from 1 species